rnacentral:lncRNA from 1 species
AGCAAGGAUGGUGGAAGGAGACGGUCAUCAUUAUAUAAAAUACAUGUAUGAAGAUGUGAAUUUGCUGUCAACAUACCUUAUAUACAAAUAGAGAUUUGAUAAAUUGUAGUAUAAAGGUGUAUUAAGAAUUGUAGUGCAAAAAUAAUCAAUAAGAGAGCUCACGUAUAAUGGCAUAAUUUGGCAUGAACAUACUUUAUAUACAGAGUUAUGAAAAAUUGUGCUGUGAAUGGAUCAUUAUGAAUGUAAUGCACUCCACUAUUGUCAUGUAUGAAAUAAAUAAAUAAUAAUAAAAAAAUAAAAUAAAGUUCCAUUUGAGUACGAAAUUAAAAAUAUUUUCAUCAGCAAGGGAAGUGUAAA